rnacentral:rRNA from 1 species
UACGUAGGGUGCAAGCGUUGUCCGGAAUUAUUGGGCGUAAAGAGCUCGUAGGCGGUCUGUCGCGUCGGCUGUGAAAACCUGGGGCUUAACUCCGGGCCUGCAGCCGAUACGGGCAGACUAGAGUUCGGCAGGGGAGACUGGAAUUCCUGGUGUAGCGGUGAAAUGCGCAGAUAUCAGGAGGAACACCGAUGGCGAAGGCAGGUCUCUGGGCCACUACUGACGCUGAGAAGCGAAAGCAUGGGGAGCGAACAGG